ensembl:snoRNA
CUGUCCAUCACCAACUCCCAGAGUUUACUAAAAUUCAUGUCCAAACAGGAGCCUAAAGAAGUCUCUUUCUAUGGUCUGUUGGCCAUUUCAGAUCUUCGAAAUGUAAUGGUCAACUCAUUAGAAAGAAACAUCU